rnacentral:tRNA from 1 species
GAGGGUAUAGCUCAGUGGUAGAGUGCUUGCUUAGCAUGCACGAGGUCCUGAGUUCAAUCCCCAGUACCUCCA